UUUACAUCAAAAUUCAUCAUAAUCUUCGUCUUUUCAUCUCCACCUUUUGUUUUAGAGAGUGAAAGUAACAAUUUGUAGUGAGAGAAAUUCCAGAUAUCGAACUCCGGCGAAAAUCCGAAUCUCCUGCGAACCGGAUCUGAGUUAUGGUGAAAAUCCGAAUCUCCAGGUGGUGGUUUAACGCCACAACGAAAGGUCGACGGCUAGGGUUCCAGCAGCACAUAAAUCUGACCAGUUGUGGUUUCAGCCAGUAUCGGUAA
rnacentral:lncRNA from 1 species